rnacentral:rRNA from 1 species
UACGUAGGGUGCGAGCGUUAAUCGGAAUUACUGGGCGUAAAGCGCGUGUAGGCGGCUUGGCAAGUCGGAUGUGAAAGCCCACGGCUCAACCGUGGAAGCGCAUCCGAAACUGCUUCGCUCGAGUCUCGGAGAGGAAGGUGGAAUGCUUGGUGUAGAGGUGAAAUUCGUAGAUAUCAAGCAGAACACCUGCGGCGAAGGCGGCCUUCUGGACGAUGACUGACGCUGAGACGCGAAAGCGUGGGGAGCAAACAGG